CGGCGAGUGAAGCGGGAUGAGCUCAAGCUUAAAAUCUCCGUGCAAUUUUUGCACGGCGAAUUGUAGUCUAUAGAGGCGUGGUCAGUAUAAGCACUUGGGGUAAGUUCCUUGGAAAAGGACAGCAUGGAGGGUGAUACUCCCGUUCAUCUCUAAGUUGCUUGUGCGUACGACCCGUUUUCUUUGAGUCGCGUUGUUUGAGAAUGCAGCGCAAAGUAGGUGGUAAAUUCCAUCUAAAGCUAAAUAUUGGUGCGAGACCGAUAGCAAACAAGUACCGUGAGGGAAAGAUGAAAAGAACUUUGAAAAUAGAGUUAAAGAGUACCUGAAACUGCUGAAAGGGAACCAAAUCGUUUCCAGUGUCUAUAAUCCGUGGUAUAUUUCAUUGGCGAGUGUGUGCGUGCGUGUGCUGUUGCAGUGGCUUUUUGGCUGCGCUCGGUGUGUGUGCUGUGUGUACUUGCUGGUGCCCUGUGCUGCGGUGGGACGUCAAGGUCAGUUCGUAUGCUGCGGGAAAUGGCUACUGAGGAGGUAGGGCUUACGCUUGCGUUUGUCUGUUAUAUCUUGGUGGACGAGUCGUCGCGGUUGGGACUGAGGUGCCUACAACGUGCUUUUGAGUGGGCUUGGGUCUCCGUGUGCGCCGUGUGCGGAUAGCUUGCUAUGCGUGUGUGGUUGUAUGUGGAUUGA
rnacentral:rRNA from 1 species